rnacentral:lncRNA from 1 species
AGAAUGGAUAUAAUCUAGAGUUUAUAACAUAAAUGAAUCAACACGAUAAAUUGGAACUGGAGUCACCGUGGCGGCUGAAAAUGAUAGAGGCGCCAUUCUGCUUGUUCUACUUUUCUCCGGCAGUUGUAAUUCUUGAAACUCUAUUCUCUUAUGCAGCGUGUAUAUUAUGCCGGCAGCCCUUUGAACUAGAUACCUUCGACUGAUGUUUUUCUUCUAUCAGUAUCGAUCGAAUUUGAGUCAGUUUUCCGGAAUCGGUCUUAGCCCUCUCAUCAACGGUAUCAUUUAAAAGAGUCCUUAAAGAUAAAACACCUUUAACAAUUUUGAAGAAAUUGCUGUAAUCUAUUUCCCUGUCAUCAGGAAAAAAACACUUGAAUUCGCAGUUAUCGGGGCAUGAUUUAAAGUAGCAUACACACGCAAUACAUCGACUACGUUUAUGCUUUGGCAUGAUGUUCUUGCUGGAUAAGAAAAUCAAAACUGAUAAAUGGCUUUUCCAAACUUCAAAUGAUGGGCCGAGAGUGCAACGUGUAACACGUUAAGGUAUGAUUUAUGAUAGCUUUAAACGGGUAAUGUUCAAUCCCCUAACCCGAACAACAAAUAGAUAUAUGUUAAAAGUAUACGUUUAACUAACAAAAUUUGUUUAAAUAAAUAUUAUAAAGUAAAAAAUUUUGAUUUGAUCACUAAAAGUAUACAUGCCGAAAGUACACCUUUAGCUAAUCAAACUUUUUUAGGUUGAAUUCUUCUACUUAAAGCAGAAUCAGAGGUAAUCAACCAUAGAAUCAUAUAGAAAAAAUUGUGAAUUAAAAUUAGGAAUAGAUAUAAUGUAGAGUUUAUAACAUAAAUGAAUCAACACAAUAAAGUGGAACUGGAGUCACCGUGGCCGCCGAAAAUGAUAGAGGAGCCAUUGUGCUUGUUCUACUUUUCUCCGGCAGUUGCAAUUAUUGAGACUCUAUUCUCUUAUGCAGCGUGUAUAUUAUGCCGGCAGUCCUUUGAAUUUGAUACCUUCGGCUGAUGUUUCCUUCCAUCAGUAUCGAUCGAAUUUGAGUCAGCUUUCUAGCAUCGGUCUUAUCCAUCCCAUCAAUGGUUUCAUUUAAAAGAACCCUUAAAGAUGAAGCACAUUUCACAACUUUAAAGAAAUUGUUGUAGUCUAUUUUGCUGUCGUUGGAAAAAAAACUCUUGAAUUCGCAGUUGCCGAGGCAUGAUUUAAAGUAGCUUACACAGGCAAUGCAUCGACUACGUUCAUGCUAUGGCAUGAUGUUCUUGCUGGAAAAGAAAAUCAAAAUUGCUAAAUGACUUUUUCAAACUUCAAAUGAUGAGCCGAGAGUGCAACGUGUAACACGCUAAGGUAUGAUUUAUGAUAGUUUUAAAAGGGUAAUGUGCAGUCUCCUAACCCGAACAACAAAGAGAUAUAUGUUAAAAGUAAACGUUUAACUAACAAAACAUGUUUAAAUAAAUAUUAUAAACGAUAAAAUUUUGAUUUUGUCACUAAAAGUAGACAUGCCGAAAGUACACGUUUAGCUAACAAAAUUGUUUUAGGUUGAAUUCUUCUACUCAAAGCUGAAGCAGAUGUAAUCAAAUAUAGAAUCAUAUAGAAAAAAUUGUGUAUUAAAAUUAGGAAUGAAUAUAAUCUAGAGUUUAUAACAUAAAUGAAUCAACACAAUAAAGUGAAACUGAAGUCACCGUGGCCGCCGAAAUGAUAGAGGCGCCAUUCUGCUUGUUCUACUUUUCUCCGGCAUUUACAAUUCUUGAGACUCUAUUCUCUUAUGCAGCGUGUAUAUUAUGCCGGCAGCCCUUUGAACUAGAUACCUUCGACUGAAGUUUUUCUUUUAUCAGUAUCGAUCGAAUUUGAGUCAGUUUUCCGGCAUCGGUCUUGACCCUCUCAUCAACGGUGUCAUUUAAAAGAGCCCUUAAAGAUAAAACACCUUUAACAAUUUUGAAGAAAUUGCUGUAAUCUAUUUCGCUGUCGUUGGGAAAAAAACUCUUGAAUUCGCAGUUGCCAGGGCAUAAUUUAAGUAGCAUAUACAGGCAAUGAAUCGACUACGUUCAUGCUUGGGCAUGAAGUUCAUGCUGAAUAAGAAAAUCAAAAUUGAUAAAUGACUUUUCCAAACUUCAAAUGAUAGGCCGAGACUGCAACGUGUAACACGCUAAAGUAUGAUUUAUGAUAGCUUUAAAUGGGUAAUGUGCAAUCCCCUAACCCGAACAACAAAGAGAUAUAUGUUAAAA